rnacentral:lncRNA from 1 species
UAUUAGUUACACGUGGGACAAAUCCCAUUAUGAGACAUAUCAUCACAACAAGAAUAUUUCAUUCUAGAUUUUAGAAUCCCAGGUUUUGGCUCACUUUGGUCAAGAAAAAUUAUAAAUAAUUGAGUUAGAGAUAAUUAAAUGUUAGCCUCCUGGAGUGCAUGGCAAUUGGUUUUGACCUCUAUAUUAAAAUUCACAAGACCACGGACAUAAGUCAAAACAGGGCAGCCAAAGAGGCGCAGAGAAGAGUGACAAGGUGCCCAGCAAGCGGCGGGAUCAAAGCCUGGGUCUCUAAUUCCCAGGCUGGAGAUUCUGGGCUGCCUGCUCCUCCUGCACGGGGCGAAAAGCCCACCUGGGAUCCGAGCGGGCGGCCGCGCCACUCUCGCAGGCUCC